GGCUCAAAUUGAAAAUGCCCAUUCAACAAUGCCACCAACAAGCAAUCCACCGAACCUGUCUCCUAUCGAGUUUAGUUCCAAACAUUAUUCUGGUAUAAGUACAUCCCAAGGGAAAAGAUCAAACCACACUAACCAGGUUGAAGUUGUUGCUAAUAAGAGCGGGCAAGAAGGAUGUCUGCAGUCAAUAAUUUACCAGGGAUUAUCCACCAACACUCCAAAUAACACUUUACCAGAGACUU